rnacentral:miRNA from 1 species
CUCAUCUUUAUGACUGUUAUGUG